rnacentral:rRNA from 1 species
AGAGGCUCGAGUUGAUAGCCUUCGGCGUAAAGCGUGGUUAAGGAGUUAUUAGGCUAAAGUCGAACUCUCUCAUGGCUGUUAUACGCACCCGAGAGCAUGAAGUCCAAACGCGAAAGUAACUUUAAAUAUCCUGACCCCACGAAAGCUGUGAAACAAACUGGGAUUAGAUACCCCAUUAUGCACAGCCAUAAACUUUGAUAAAGAAUUUACAAUUUAUCCGCCCGGGUACUACGAGCAUAA